GACGUAGGAUGCAAGCGUUGUCCGGAUUUAUUGGGCGUAAAGAGUUCGUAGGCGGUUCGUUAAGUCUGAUGUUAAAGACUGGGGCUCAACCCUGGGAGUGCAUUGGACACUAGCGGACUGGAGUGCAGUAGAGGCAAGCGGAAUUCCCAGUGUAGCGGUGAAAUGCGUAGAUAUUGGGAAGAACACCGGUGGCGCAAGCGGCUUGCUGGGCUGUAACUGACGCUGAGGAACGAAAGCUAGGGGAGCGAAUGGG
rnacentral:rRNA from 1 species